UACUAAUAAUUUUAAAGUGAUCCAGUUGGUAACAGUAAUAGUAGCAGAAGGCUUUCAAUAUUGACGCACAUUGACGCUUAUUGAGAAUCCUGUAAUCGUCGAAGACUAACAAAAUUGUAUUGUCAAAUUCAAAGUGAUUUUCACGAGAUAAAAUAUAUUAUUAUAUAUUCUAAAAACAAUGUCAGAGACGAUAAUAGACGAAAGAGUAACCGAUGAAAUCGAAGCAUUAAAAGCAAUUUUGCUUGAUGAUGAGUUAAAUAUAAAGGAAAAUGAUAGAGGUGAACCAGAAUAUAUUGAGACUGUGUUAUUUCCUUCAACUGGUGAAGAUUCACAGUCUCAAUAUGUUUGUGUAACAUUGAUUGUUCAAUUACCUGUAGGAUAUCCUGAUAUAUCACCUACUAUUAAUCUCAGAAAUCCAAGAGGUUUAGAUGAAAAUACUGUGAGACUUAUGCAAUCAGAUGCAGAGGCAAAAUGUAAGAAUUUCAUAGGUCAACCAGUUAUGUUUGAACUCAUUGAGUUGAUAAGAGAACACCUUACAAGAAGUAAUCUUCCAACGGAUCAAUGUGCCAUAUGCUUAUAUGGUUUUCGAGAAGGAGAUGAAUUUACAAAAACUGAAUGCUAUCAUUAUUUUCACUCCCACUGUUUAGCAGCACAUGUUGCUGCUGCAGAACGAUAUUACAGAGAGGAGCAAGAAAAAUUGCCUCAAUGGCAACAAGAUACUACUAAUAAAUUUCAGGCUAUAUGUCCUGUAUGUCGAGAAUCCAUCAAUUGUGAUGUAGAAAGUUUAUGGUCUGCUCCACCUCCAAUUGAUGUUGAAGCUGCUAUCGAUUUUUCAGUAACUGCAGAAUUGAGAGAAUUACAAAAGCAGAUGGCAGCAUUAUUUUUAAGGCAACAAGAAAGGGGUGGUAUAAUUGAUUUAGAAGCUGAAGGCGUAAAGACAUUAGUUAGAACAGAAGAUGAAUCUGGUACUACAACUGAAGGACCCAAUCCUCCAGGAACUAGUGUAAAUACUUACUCAGUGCAAUCUGUUAAUCAGAUGUCAAAACAAUCUUCACAUCAAACUCAAAAUGCUCACUAUCAAUCAAGACAACUACAUCAUAAUUAUCAUGGACAUAAUAAUCAUGGACAUCGAAAUAGAGGUCGUGGACGAGCUCAUUAUCGUCGACAAUUUGACAGACUUAGGCAAACGGAAUCUACUCCCAGAUGACAAUGGGUUCGAGAUAAAUUAUUUACUGUCUGGUCUCCUAUUUUGCUAAAUGUUUUAUUGUUCAACAACAUUCCCGUUGUAACGUAAUGGCGUAUAAAAUGGGAUAUGUUAAAACUUCCAAGGACUGUCUGUGUAGACUGAAGCCAUGGUGCUCUUUUAAACGAUCUACAAUCGUACAAAGUUAGUUCUUUUUUUUAGUAUAAAUAUGUAUACAGAGCUGUAAGUACUGUAGCAUAUUAUAAACAAAUAAAAAAAAAUAUACGCAAUCAAAAUAGUAUAUUAAAAAUAUUUUAUACUAGCAAUUUAAAAUUUAAUGAUCUCAAAGCAUAAAAAUAAUAUGUAUUGCUUCUAAAUUAAUAAUUUUUAAAUUUAACAUAAUUUAUAAUACUCAUUUUCAUGUAAAAAUUUAUUAAUAAUAUAGAUCGUGCUAUAUAACAGAGCAGACAUGGAUCAGUAUUUAAACAGAUAUUUGUUUAUUCCUUUUAAAGGAAUCAAAAUUUAAUUUUUGCUCUAUGCAUACAAAAGCAAUGUAAAUCCUUAGUAAAAAUAUGUAAUGCUAUUAUAUAUCAAAUUUAACAUAUGAAAUAUACCUUUCAAGAGUUGA
rnacentral:misc_RNA from 1 species